GGUGGCUCAGUGGUAGAGCACUUGCCUUGCAUGCAUGAGGCCCUGGGCUCAACUCCUCAGCACCA
rnacentral:tRNA from 1 species